rnacentral:rRNA from 1 species
UAGGGAAUUUUCCACAAUGGGGGCAACCCUGAUGGAGCAACGCCGCGUGCAGGAUGAAUGCCUUCGGGUUGUAAACUGCUUUUAUAUGUGACGAAUAUGACGGUAGCAUAUGAAUAAGGAUCGGCUAACUCCGUGCCAGCAGCCGCGGUCAUACGGAGGAUCCAAGCGUUAUCCGGAAUUACUGGGCGUAAAGAGUUGCGUAGGUGGCACUGUGUGUCUGUAGUGAAAGCGUGUGGCUCAACCAUAUAUACAUUACAGAAACUGCAGAGCUAGAGGACGAGAGAGGUAACUGGAAUUCCUAGUGUAGGAGUGAAAUCCGUAGAUAUUAGGAGGAACACCGAUGGCGUAGGCAGGUUACUGGCUCGUUCCUGACACUAAGGCACGAAAGCGUGGGGAGCAA